rnacentral:rRNA from 1 species
AUUGAACGCUGGCGGCAUGCUUUACACAUGCAAGUCGAACGGUAACAGGCCUUCGGGCGCUGACGAGUGGCGAACGGGUGAGUAAUGCAUCGGAACGUGCCCAGUCGUGGGGGAUAACGCAGCGAAAGCUGUGCUAAUACCGCAUACGAUCUGUGGAUGAAAGCGGGGGACCUUCGGGCCUCGCGCGAUUGGAGCGGCCGAUGUCAGAUUAGGUAGUUGGUGGGGUAAAGGCUCACCAAGCCAACGAUCUGUAGCUGGUCUAAGAGGACGACCAGCCACACUGGGACUGAGACACGGCCCAGACUCCUACGGGAGGCAGCAGUGGGGAAUUUUGGACAAUGGGCGCAAGCCUGAUCCAGCAAUGCCGCGUGCAGGAAGAAGGCCUUCGGGUUGUAAACUGCUUUUGUACGGAACGAAACGGUCCUGGUUAAUACCUGGGGCUAAUGACGGUACCGUAAGAAUAAGCACCGGCUAACUACGUGCCAGCAGCCGCCGUAACAC